AUAAUAAUUGAUUUUGAUCACCAAUUGUGCUAUUUCCUGGAUUCUCUUCACAAUUUUCCACCAGAUGAAAUCAAAUCUCUCAUUUCUCGUGUCUUUCAACAUUUACGCACAAAUAAUGCAAAAACUAAGGAAGUCGCAUGGAGAACAGUUAAGUGUCCUCGUCAACCAUUACAAUCAGUACAAUGUGGGUUCUAUGUUAUGAGGAUGAUGAAGGACUUCGUGACAAAUGAGUUUUCAAUGCGAUGGCUAACUAGUAACUGUGGCGGGAAGAACUAAUACACAAAGAAUGAGAUCAAUGAAGUACGUGAAGAAUGGGCACAAUGCGUCAUGGAUUUGAUGAGUACUACAUAGGUCCACCCACUUUUGUUAACUUAGACUUUUAAUGAGAUAUACU